CCUACGGGUGGCUGCAGUGAGGAAUAUUGGUCAAUGGGCGCAAGCCUGAACCAGCCAUGCCGCGUGCAGGAUGACGGUCCUAUGGAUUGUAAACUGCUUUUGUACGGGAAGAAACCACGCUUCGUGAAGCGUAUUGACGGUACCGUAAGAAUAAGGAUCGGCUAACUCCGUGCCAGCAGCCGCGGUAAUACGGAGGAUCCAAGCGUUAUCCGGAAUCAUUGGGUUUAAAGGGUCCGUAGGCGGGUCUGUAAGUCAGUGGUGAAAUCUCCCCGCUC
rnacentral:rRNA from 1 species